rnacentral:rRNA from 1 species
GCCUAACACAUGCAAGUCGAGCGAGAAUCGUUUAUUGAAGGCUUCGGCUGGAAAUAGAUGAGGAAAGCGGCGAACGGGUGAGUAACGCGUGGGCAACCUGGCCUUAAGAAAAGGAUAGCCCCCGGAAACGGGGAGUAAUACUUUAUGAGAAUGAGAGAGGGCAUCCUACUUUCAUUCAAAGCGCAAGCGCUUAAGGAUGGGCCCGCGUAUCAUUAGCUAGUUGGUGAGAUAACAGCCCACCAAGGCAACGAUGAUUAGCCGGUCUGAGAGGGCGAACGGCCAAAUUGGAACGGAGGGACGGUCCGAACUCCUACGGGAGGCAGCAGCGGGGAAUAUUGCGCAAUGGAGAAGAACUCUGACGCAGCAAUACCGCGUGAGCGAAGAAGGUCUUCGGAUCGUAAAGCUCUGUUAUCAGGGAAGAAGAAAAUGACGGUACCUGAUGAGCAAGUCCCGGCUAACUACGUGCCAGCCGCCGCUGUAA